rnacentral:rRNA from 1 species
AUGCCUAAUCCUAGAGAGGUUGAUCGUGCUCUGUUCGUUGAACAUGUAAGACUCAAAAAAUGUGGUGUUACUGUUAAGUUUUCUCCCUGGUAUGAGGAUAUUGACUCUGAGGGCCUCCUGGAAAUAGCCUGGGUUAGGAUUGGGCGUAUUCCCACUAACAAAAGAUGUGAUAAAACUAUUGCUUAUGUCGGGGGGCUCGUGGGCAUCACGCUGGAGGUGGAUAUGUCCACCAUAAAUCGCUCGUCGUCAGUCAGGGCUAAAAUUGGAUGUCGCUCUGUUGAUCAGCUCCUCACCACGGCUGAAGGGGUGUUGGGAGGCCGUUUUUACAAGUUCACUUAUGAAAUUGAAGAAAUUCUGGUUAAGAAUCCUGUGUAUACUGAGAAAGUUGCUGAAAUGACCAGAGGGGAUACAUCUAAACCUGAUCAGACCCCUAAAUGA